AAAACGCCUGCGCAGGCAGCGGCGGGGGCGAAAGGUGAACGCGAUCGUAUUUUUGCCCACUGCUACGGGCUUUACGACGCCCAUAUGAAGGCAUGUAACGUUCUCGAUUUUGAUGAUUUGAUUUUGCUGCCGACGCUGCUGCUGCAACGCAAUGACGAGGUGCGCGAGCGCUGGCAGAAUAAAAUUCGUUAUCUGCUGGUGGAUGAAUAUCAGGAUACUAACACCAGCCAGUAUGAGUUGGUUAAGCUGCUGGUCGGGCAACGCGCGCGCUUUACGGUCGUAGGCGAUGACGAUCAGUCUAUCUACUCCUGGCGCGGGGCGCGUCCGCAAAACCUGGUGUUACUGAGCCAGGAUUUUCCGGCGCUGCAGGUGAUUAAGCUGGAGCAAAACUAUCGUUCUUCGGGCCGCAUCCUGAAAGCGGCGAAUAUUCUCAUCGCCAACAAUCCGCACGUCUUUGAAAAGCGCCUCUUUUCCGAACUCGGUUACGGCGCGGAACUCAAAGUGUUAAGCGCAAACAAUGAAGAGCAUGAAGCUGAGCGCGUUACCGGCGAACUGAUUGCCCAUCACUUUGUGAACAAGACCCAGUACAAGGAUUACGCCAUUCUGUAUCGCGGGAAUCAUCAGUCGCGGGUAUUUGAAAAAUUCCUCAUGCAGAACCGCAUUCCGUACAAAAUUUCCGGCGGCACCUCAUUUUUCUCCCGUCCGGAGAUUAAAGACCUGCUGGCCUACCUGCGGGUGUUGACCAACCCGGAUGAUGACAGCGCUUUCCUGCGCAUCGUGAAUACGCCAAAACGCGAAAUCGGUCCGGCCACUCUGCAAAAGCUGGGUGAAUGGGCAAUGACGCGUAAUAAAAGCCUGUUUACCGCCAGCUUUGAUAUGGGGCUUAGCCAGAAGCUGACCGGACGUGGUUACGAUUCAUUGACGCGUUUUACCCACUGGCUGGGGGAAAUCCAGCGACUGGCCGAACGUGAGCCUGUCGC
rnacentral:rRNA from 1 species